CUUUGGGAAUGUCAGGCCUCUGAGCCCAAGCCAAGCCAUCGCAUCCCCUAUGACAUGCACGUACACGCCCAGAUGGCCUGAAGUAACUGAAGAAUCACAAAAGAAGUGAAUAUGCCCUGCCCCACCUUAACUGAUGACAUUCCACCACAAAAGAAGUGUAAAUGGCCAGUCCUUGCCUUAACUGAUGACAUUACCUUGUGAAAGUCCUUUUCCUGGCUCAUCCUGGCUCAAAAAGCACCCCCACUGAGCACCUUGCGACCCCCCGCUCCUACCCGCCAGAGAACAAACCCCCUUUGACUGUAAUUUUCCUUUACCUAACCAAAUCCUAUAAAACGGCCCCACCCUUAUCUCCCUUCGCUGACUCUCUUUUCGGACUCAGCCCGCCUGCACCCAGGUGAAAUAAACAGCCUCGUUGCUCACACAAAGCCUGUUUGGUGGUCUCUUCACACGGACGCGCAUGAAAUUUGGUGCCGUGACUCGGAUCGGGGGACCUCCCUUGGGAGAUCAAUCCCCUGUCCUCCUGCUCUUUGCUCCGUGAGAAAGAUCCACCUACGACCUCAGGUCCUCAGACCAACCAGCCCAAGAAACAUCUCACCAAUUUCAAAUCCGGUAAGCGGCCUCUUUUUACUCUGUUCUCCAACCUCCCUCACUAUCCCUCAACCUCUUUCUCCUUUCAAUCUUGGCGCCACACUUCAAUCUCUCCCUUCUCUUAAUUUCAAUUCCUUUCAUUCUCUGGUAGAGACAAAAGAGACAUGUUUUAUCCGUGAACCCAAAACUCCGGCGCCGGUCACGGACUGGGAAGGCAGUCUUCCCUUGGUGUUUAAUCAUUGCAGGGACGCCUCUCUGAUUUCACGUUUCAGACCACGCAGGGAUGCCUGCCUUGGUCCUUCACCCUUAGCGGCAAGUCCCGCUUUCCUGGGGCAGGGGCAAGUACCCCUCAACCCCUUCUCCUUCACCCUUAGCGGCAAGUCCCGCUUUUCUGGGGCAGGGGCAAGUACCCCUCAACCCCUUCUCCUUCACCCUUAGCAGCAAGUCCCGCUUUCCUAGGGGGCAAGAACCCCCCAAUCGCUUAUUUUCACGCCCCAACCUCUUAUCUCUGUGCCCCAAUCCCUUAUUUCCACGCCCCAAUCUCUUAUCUCUGCGCCCCAAUCCCUUAUUUCCGCGCCCCAACCCUUUCUCUGCUUUUCUGGAGGGGAAGAAACCCCCACCCCUUCUCCGUGUCUCUACUCUUUUCUCUGGGCUUGCCUCCUUCACUAUGGGCAAGCUUCCACCUUCCAUUCCUUUCUUCUCCCUUAGCAUGUAUUCUUAAGAACUUAAAAUCUCUUCAAUUCUCACCUGACCUAAAAUCUAAGCGUCUUAUUUUCUUCUGCAAUGCCACUUGACCCCAAUACAAACUCAACAGUAGUUCCAAAUAGCCAGAAAAUGGCACUUUCAAUUUUUCCACCCUACAAGAUCUAAAUAAUUCUUGGCGUAAAAUGGGCAAAUGGUGUGAGGUGCCUGACGUCCAGGCAUUCUUUUACACAUCAGUCCCUUCCUAGUCUCUGUGCCCAGUGCAACUCGUCCCAAAUCUUCCUUCUUUCCCUCCCGCCUGUCCCCUCAGUACCAACCCCAAGCGUCACUGAGUCUUUCUAAUCUUCCUUUUCUACAGACCCAUCUGACCUCUCCCUUCCUCCCCAGGCUGCUCCUUGCCAGGCCGAGCUAGGUCCCAAUUCUUCCUCAGCCUCUGCUCCUCCACCCUAUAAUCUUUUUAUCACCUCCCCUCCUCACACCUGCUCCGGCUUACAGUUUCAUUCCGUGACUAGCCCUCCCCGACCUGCCCAGCAAUUUAUUCUUAAAAAGGUGGCUGGAGCUAAACGCAUAGUCAAGGUUAAUGCUCCUUUUUCUUUAUCCCAAAUCAGAUAGUGUUUAGGCUCUUUUUCAUCAAAUAUAAAAAUCUAGCCCAGUUCAUGGCUCGUUUGGCAGCAACCCUAAGACACUUUACAGCCCUAGCCCCUAAAAGGUCAAAAGGCCAUCUUAUUCUCAAUAUACAUUUUAUUACCCAAUCUGCUCCCGACAUUAAAUAAAACUCCAAAAACUGGAAUCUGGCCCUCAAACCCCACAACAGGACUUAAUUAACCUCACCUUCAAGGUGUGAAAUAACAGAAAAAAGUUGCAAUUCCUUGCCUCCACUGUGAGACAAACCCCAGCCACAUCUCCAGCACACAAGAACUUCCAAACGCCUGAACUGUAGCAGCCAGACGUUUCUCCAGAACCUCCUCCCCCAGGAACUUGCUACACAUGCCGGAAAUCUGGCCACUGGGCCAAGGAACGCCCGCAGCCCGGGAUUCCUCCUAAGCCGCGUCCCAUCUGUGUGGGACCCCACUGAAAAUCGGACUGUUCAACUCACCUGGCAGCCACUCCCAGAGCUCCUGGAACUCUGGCCCAAGGUUCUCUGACUGACUCCUUCUUGGCUUACUGGCUGAAGACUGACGCUGCCUGAUCGCCUCAGAAGCCCCGCAGACCAUCAUGGACGCCGAGCUUUAGCCCGCCUGCACCCAGGUGAAAUAAACAGCCUUGUUGCUCACACAAAGCCUGUUUGGUGGUCUCUUCACACAGACGCGCAUGAAAGGGAAGACAUACAAAAACAAGGCCUCUGAGGUAGGUACUACUGAGACAGCCAGGUGGGAAGGACUCCUUGGCAAAACUCCAACCAGCCUGUACACUGGGAGGAAUGUGCACUGGGAUGGAGCCAUAGAAGUUUGUGUCGUUUGCAGUGGGGAGGAGCCUGGUCCCUCCUCUUCCUGUGAGGAACCUGGAAUUCAAUCUGUGAGGUUGUUCUGGAGAUGUUCUGGGGAGACUGCAUUAAACACAGCUUCGCACCAUUGAAUAAACUCAGCAACAAGCCAAUGCAUAAAAGUAAUCUAUGCUUCAGGUCACAGAAGCUUCAAGGGGAAAAAAACAGAAUACUCUAGGGCCAUUGUUCACAAACUCAUCUGAAAACAUCCUGGAAAAAUUUUCCCAAACACAUGGAAAGAAAGAGAGGAAAAAAGAAGAUAUCUGAAUAAUGUGGACUAGAAUAAAGAGCUGCCAGGAGCUGUUUAUUUAAAAACAGUACUUUCUUCUCUGGCUGAGUCCCUGGUAUUCUCUGCUGCAAUCUGUAGCUGUAGAAUUUUGAAGAAUGCAAUUAAAUUCAAAUGGUUUGAUGAGUAAUAUCUUUUCUCUUCAUAUUUGUCUAAAACUUUUCUUUAUUGAAUAGCGAGAGUGAUGAAAGUGUUUUCCAUAAUAAUAACAAUGACAAGGGCCUGAUGAUGAACUACAAUUAGCUCAGUGAUUCAUCAGUUAGCAGUGAAAUUUUCAAUGCAUCCUGACAUUUAGAGCAUUUGGUUGUGAUUAACAGUCUUUGAAAUGUCACCGAAUUUUAUUUAAUUGGCUAAGAAAAAAUUUUAAAAGGUAAUCACUGCAAAGAUCACAUUCAUCGCCAAAAAUGAUAAUUGCAGUUGUCACAUGACAAGGUAGAUGCUAACUACUGUAGCAAACUUGCUCUGUGUUCUUACAGAAUCUAAUGAAUGCAGCAGAGAUCAAGAGCUUGAAGGGGCUUAGAAGUUUAUUUGAAUGCUCCUUUCAAAGCCAUUUGUAUCAAGAACUGCAAGCCUUUAAGUCAUCUGAGCAAAUACCAAAACUGAAAUGCAGUCAUGACACUGGCUCAGGACUGAGAUCUAAACAGUCAUCUUCGUGGCAACAGGUAUUAUUGGUAAAAGAGAGUCUGGAAAUUAGGGCCUAGCCUUUCUUGAGAGGCCAGUAUAGCUGAGUAGUAAAAAGUCAAGUUUUGGAGUCAGGUGUAACUAACCCACAAUCCAAGUUAUGAACUGUGGAGUGAAUGACUCACCUGCCUGGGCUUCUGCUUGCUCACCUGCAAAAUGACAACAGCCUGCCCUACAGAGCUGCCUGCAGACCAACAGCAGCAAGGCCUUGGGAGUCUCUGCUGGUCUCCCAGCUCCUGCUUGACACCUCAAGAUGAUGUUGCUCCAUUUAGUGCCUGUUUGUUCUCAGACUAUCCCAUGCCUUCUUCCUGCAAACCACAGCUCUCAAGCUCCCCAACAGUUUGACAAGGAUCAUACAAAGGGGAAAGGAAGCAAGGAAAGAAUCAAGGUCUUUCUAAGCAAUUUCUCUACGCUCUCAGGGGAUAGGCAUUUUCUGGCCGUGACUGUGUCUCCUCCAUAGUUCCAACUUCCACAGGACAGGUCCUUCCCUCCAUAGUCACAGUUCUUCUUGGGUAGCCUCCUCCACACUUCUGAAUGGCCCAUCUGAAUGGCCACAGUGACUCGGCGCUGAUGUCACCCCUCCUGCCUGUUGUACCCCCUGCCCUAGAGAGGAGAUGCCUCCUGCUGAUGCUAAUCUGUGGAUUGCUUCAUUCUCUGGUUUCUCAGCUUUUCCAUCCCUUAUGCCAUCAAUUGCCCGAAUUAAACUCCUACUAUUUAAAAUACCUAGAGUGGUUUUUAUUUUUCUGCUUCUUAACAUCUUCACUGCUAUCUCCCUAGUCCAAGUCACCAUUAUCUUACCCAGAUAACUUAAUGGCCUCCCUGUUAUUGUCCUUGCCCUCCUAGGGUUGCUUCUAAAUACAGCAGCCAGAAAAAUGCUGUUGAGUUCAAG
rnacentral:lncRNA from 10 species